AGCAGAAGGACACCACCCGUUCCCAUCCCGAACACGGUCGUAAAGACUUCUUGCGCCGACAAUACUCGGAGGGUAGCCUCCCGGAAAGAUAGGUCGUUGCUG
rnacentral:rRNA from 1 species